rnacentral:lncRNA from 1 species
AAUUUUUUAUUAUUCCGAAUUUAUUAUCUUUAAAUUAUUCCAUUACUAUUAAAAACUUUAAGUUAUUUUAAUUUUUAUUUAAAAAAUGAGAGGAGAGAGCUAAUUUAUAUUUGUUAAAUUAUUUUAAUUAUUAACAAUAUUUUAAUAUGAUUAUUCUACUAAACAAAUUAAACUGUUUAUAUUACAUUUGUAUUUAUUAAAAAUUUUGAUGUUCAAUUGUUUUUUUUAACUCUUUAGAUAAGAAACUCUCCCUAAAUUCUCCCUCUCCGUCACCAAUCAAUCUCCCGAAGUCUGUUUUUGAUCGGCUUUAUAAAGUUAAGGUUUGUAAUGCAAAACUGAAAAUCGUUUUUUCGUCCAUUCGUUGCCCUCUCUUGCUCUUUCUAAGCGUUUUAACCAGACAUCAACUGCCACUUCGGCCUUGGUCGGAGUGGUGGGCUGCUGCCCUCACAAGCAUUGUGAGGGCAGCGGUUCAAGCCCCCACAAAAGCAUUUGUGGGGGCUAACGUGCUUAUUUGUUUAAUAUUUCAAAAAUUUCCUCUCUCUCGUGCAAUACGAGUGGAGUAUGAACAUCCCUCUUCUGUAAGGGAUUAUUUAUCUGGGCAUGUACUUCACAGAAUUCAAUGUAAUAAUAUAAGUCCCAAUCAUGUAUUUCUGAUUGUAAAUAUCAGUGUAAUAUAUCUGCUAUAAUAGCAGUUGUAAAUAUCUGUGUAAUGCAGUAAUAUGAUGAUUAAUCAGUAUUCAAAAAAAAAAAACCAGACAUCAACUUGGUCAAAUUAGUUGACUCAAGUGGUCAAAUUAGUUGACUCAAGUGCCCACGCGAGGACUUAAAUGAUGAAACUAAUGAAUUGGGCACUUGAAGACUCUGCGUUUUGCUUUGGCUUCGAUUAAUGGCCAACAUGUUCCUGGCCUCAAUCUUAUCAACACUCCUAGUUCUCAAGAUUAUAACAAAUAAAAAGAUUAUCUCUUUUGCACUCACAUCGCUUGGAAGUCAAUCUUUUUUUCUGAUUUUUAUCAUGCGGAAAGGUAAUUUACUCUCCACGUGUGUGUGAAUCAUAUCAAGUACCACUCAAAAGCCCAUAAAUCUAUCUCAUACUAAAAAUUAUAAAAUUUAUUUAACACAAAAAUUAUUUCAAAUUUUCAUAAUAAAUAUAAAUAUACUAUUAAAAUAAAUAUAAUAAUUUACAUUUAAAAAAUUAUUUUGUAUAUUAAAAAUAUUCUAAUAUCA